CUCUUCACUAUUUUUUCAGCUGCUGGAGAAAGGCGAAAUUAAAAUGGACUGCAACCAGACAAGGACGGUAGUUGAACACGAUCUGAGGGCCAUAUCUAAUUACUUUGGCCAGGCUUGUAUCCUUGAGAUUGGGUCCCUGAUAACGCGACGAAUAUCCAGCUCAAGGAAAAGUACCGCAGCCUAUGUACUAUAUGUCGUAACCCUGGCCGCUGUGGUAGGGAUGAUGACCACGCUGGGUACAAAGGCGCGCUGAGGUGUCUGGUCGACUCAUCCGGAGAUGUAGCUUGGACAAAACUCUCUGCUGUUAGAGAAUUUUCAAGGAGAGAACUGAUGUUAUAGCAGAUAAUUAUGGCUUGUUGUGUCCUGAUGGCCGGGUGGAAAACUUAGACUCCACUAAACCUUGUCAUUGGGCCGCUAGACCAUGGAAUUCUUGGGUUGCUCGAACUACGCAC